GCUCGGCCAUCUGGUGGAUGGCUCGGCUCGAGUGCCGACGAAGGUCGUGCCAAGCCGCGAUAGGCGAGGGGUAGGCGCAAGGAACCUUAGAUCCCUCGAUCGCCUAAUAGGACUUCCUGCUAGAGCAAACCUCUAGCGAUCCAUGCGGAUAGGGAACUCCCCGAAUUGAAACAUCUUAGUAGGGGAUGGAAAAGAAAUCAAAUGAGAUGCCGUGAGUAAAGUCGAUCGAAAGCGGUGUAGAGCAAACCGAAUCCUUCCAGAAAUGGUAAGGACAUGUGGUGUUUUGGAUCCUGGCACAUCUUACCCAUCCAAUGCGAAGUCUCUUGGAAUAGAGCACCAAAGAGGGUGAUAGUCCCGUAGGAGAUAGAUGGAAAGAUGAUUCGGGGUCUCCAGAGUAGCGUGCGUUGGAUAUCGCGCGUGAAUUUGGGAGGCAUACACUCCCAACCCUAAACACAACUCGAGACCGAUAGUAAACUAGUAUCGUGAGUGAAAGCUGAAAAGUAUCCUUGACGGGAGAUGAAAAGAACCUGAAACCAGAUGGUUACAGACUGAUAGUGCAUGAAAGGGACGAAGCUCUUUAGCAAGAGUGGACCGAUGUGCUAUCGUACGUUCUGAAAAACGGGCCAGAGAGUUCUGAUCCAUGGCGAGGCUAAGCCUGCUAAGGGCGGAGCCAAAGGGAAACCAACAAGUUCGCAUCCCGCAUCUGCGGGAGAGGAACGAGGUGUGCUCGCCUGGAGUCAUCGGUCAGAGAUCCGAAACCGGUCGAUCUAUGCCUGGGCAAGGUGAAGCCUUCCGAAAGGGAGGUGGAAGCCUGCAGGGGUAGUGAGCUACAAAUCCUUCCCAUGACCUGGGUAUAGGGGUGAAAGUCCAAUCUAGACCGGAUAUAGCUGGUUCCUUCCGAGACUACUCGAAGGUAGGCCCUGUUUGAGGUAGAUGAUGGCGUAGAGCACUGAUUGGGUAUUCGGGGGCGAGAGCCCUUGGUAUCCUGUCAAACUCCGAAUUCAUCAUCGCCGUAGACGACAGGAGUGAGGGCGCCGGGGUAAGCCUGGUGUCCGAAAGGGCAAGAACCCAGCCUAGGGUUAAGGUCCCAUGAAUGCCGACUAAGUGUUAGAUUGAAGGGUGUCCGCAGUCCAAAACAACUAGGAGGUGGGCUUAGAAGCAGCCUUCCUUUAAAGAGUUCGUAACAGAUCACUAGUCGAGAUUGUGGGCCCCGAAAAUGGACGGGGCUAAGUCGGCUACCGAUACCCUAGAGUACUGAAAAGUAAUCUGGUAGGAAGGCGUCGUGCGUGGGUAGAAGCUUGGUCGUGAGAUCGAGUGGACCGCGUUCGAACGAGAAUUCUGGUAUGAGUAGCAGCAAAGAACGGUGAGAAUCCGUUCCGCCGUAGGGGCUAGGGUUCCUCGGCAAUGAUUAUCAGCAGAGGGUUAGCCGGUCCUAAGGUGACUCUUAACCGAAGUCACCGAACAGGGAAACAGGUUAAUAUUCCUGUGCCUCUAGCGUCUCUGCCCAGUCUAUGACGCAUCGGGAUCGCUUGAGCAGAGCCCUCGCUCUGUCGAAUCGUAUAAGUCCGGGGAGAACCGUAAUGGUGAGAACCGGAUGAAAGCUUGAUAGGGCGGACUGAGUCCGCUUCAGGCUAAUCCUGGUGCCCGUGAAAAGUAAACUGGUUAACAACGCUAGAGACCGUACCGAGAACUGACACAGGUGUCCCUGCCAUAGCAAGGCAAGGCGUGUCGGAUAAAAUCAGGCUAGGGAAUUCGGCAAAUUGGCCCCGUACCUUCGGUAGAAGGGGUGCCAGUCAUGUGAAUGGCUGGUUGCAAUAACAAGGGGUCCUCGACUGUUUAAUAAAAACACAGAUGGCAGCUAGUUCGAAAGGAUUUGUACUGCCGUCGAAUCCUGCCCAGUGUCGGUAUCUGAAUCCCUCUUACAAGAGGUGGAAGGACCGAUAAACGGCGGGAGUAACUAUGACUCUCUUAAGGUAGCGUAAUACCUUGCCGCUUAAUUGGCGGCUUGCAUGAAGGAUCAACGAAGGACCCACUGUCCCAGCCCGAUAUCCGGUGAAAAUGACAUUCUGGCGCACAGUCCAGAAUCCUCUACUUGAAAGAGAAGACCCUGUGGAGCUUGACUGCAAUCUGUUGUUGGGGCAUGACCUCAAAUGUGCAGUGUAGGUAGGAGCCGUUACACAGGUGCGAGCGCAAGCUUGUCGCCGAGGCGUCCAUGAAACACUACCCUUUUGAGAUCGUGUCCCUAACCGCUUCGGUGGGACAUCGAUAGACGGGCAGUUUGGGUGGGGCGCCACACCCUUGAAAAGAUAACAAGGGCGUCCAAAGGUCGGCUCAGGUGGGUCAGAAAUCCACCGUAGAAUACAAUGGUAAAAGCCGGCUUGACUCGGUUUGGCACAGUAACAAACCGAGAUGCGAAAGCAAGGCAUAGCGAACCCCUGAGGCCUAUAUGUGGGGCCCAGGGAUAACAGAAAAGUUACCCCAGGGAUAACUGAGUUGUCUCCUGCAAGAGUCCAUAUCGACCAGGAGGCUUGCUACUUCGACGUCGGCUCCCUCUAUCCUGCCGGUGCAGCAUCUGGCAAGGGUGGGGUUGUUCGCCCAUUAAAAGGGGUCGUGAGCUGGGUUUAGACCGUCGUGAGCCAGGUUGGUUUCUUUUUAGUAGAGGUGCACUGGUGCCUGAGGGGAAGGGGCCCUCAGUACGAGAGGAACAGGGCUUCGCGGCCACUGGUUUACCAGUUGUCCGAGAGGGCACUGCUGGGUAGCUACGCCGUCGGGGAUAAAGGCUGAAAGCAUCUAAGCCUGAAGUCCCCCUCGAAAAGAGGCACCUUCAAAGACUCCCGUAAAAGACGGGUUAGAUAGAGCUGGGGUGUGAGUACGAAGCUUCGGCGACGUAUUCAGCCCACAGUUACUAAACGUCUGGACUGUGGUUC
rnacentral:rRNA from 1 species